rnacentral:rRNA from 1 species
CCCUUAGAUGUUCUGGGCCGCACACGCGCUACACUGAAGGAGGCAGCGUGUACUCCUGGAUCGAAAGAUUUGGGUAACCCGCGAAUCUCCUUCGUGCUAGGGAUUGAGGUUUGCAAUUAUCCUUCAUGAACGAGGAAUUCCCAGUAAGUGCAAGUCAUAAGCUUGCGCUGACUACGUCCCUGCCCUUUGUACACACCGCCCGUCGCUACUACCGAUUGAAUGAUUUAGUGAGGACUUCGGACUGGGACCGAUGCGGCUUUCGGGCUGCGUCGGUAUUCUGGAAAGAUGUCCAAACUGUAUCAUUUANAGGAAGUAAAAGUCGUAACA